UCUACAUACUGAAAGUCACCAGGAAAAGGUCUAAAGGUCUAAAGGUCUAAAGUCUGAUGACAGGAGUGGGCAGGUCUGUGGAUUUUUGAGUAAAACCAACUGGGUCUAAAAUAACAUUGAUGUGACAUGUUGUCACCCUUAGUGUCAGAAUAAACAUUAAAAUGCCCAACUAUAAUAAUCUUAUUGAUAUUUAACUCUAAAUCAUAUAAAUCUGAUCUGAAAAUAGAGAAUCAGGAUGCAAAGCUGCUUUGCAACUUGUCAUUAUUCUGAACCUGAAGGAGGGAACAAAGAGAAAAGCAGAAGCAGUUAGAGGCGGUUAGAAACACAAGGUUAGCGCCACUUUCCAGAAGAGAAAGUAAAGUGAGUGAAGAGCAGUGGAGCUGCAAACGAGACUCAUUUCUCUGUUUCUGAGUUCUUCUUGUCCUUCAACCACCGAGUCCAACAGCGACAUAUGCAGCAUGCUGUGUUUGGCUGUGGACUCUGCGAUUACGGUGCAUGUUCAACCUUCUAGACAUGGUGGCAGGGAGGUGUCUGAUCAUCUUCCCAAUUCUGUUUGGAUGUUUCUUUAACACAACCGAUUGUUAAUCUGGUUUUGUCUCAGAAACAGGGGGGUGAGAGGAGAAUUCUCUAAUAUGCGAGCACAAUACUAGAUCCUAUGGAGAAGAGACAAAUAGCUCAACAGGAAAUAACAGGCAGCUGUAAUGCAAAUCAUUCUCUCCCCCAUCACCUAAAGUAGCUCCUGACAAAAUAUCAGAAUAUAUGUCACAAUUUUAGUAGUGAAACAACAAGAGGCACCCCAAGAAGAUUUAUAAGUUGAAAUUAAAAUUAGAUGAAACUAAAAAACAUGUUGUAUGAUAUACGUGCAAGAACCUGAUGAAGUAGCAGAGGAAUUGGGAGUUUUUCUCUUGGAAUCCCAAUUAGCUUUCUUUCCUGCCAUAAAAGUUCCUUCUACAAGGUGAGGAAAAAUUCAUGAAGGAGGUGUCAAGUAGUUUUAUGGCCCAUCUGACUCUAGAGAUAAGGCGAGUUGCUUGAAGCUUUGGUGUCUUAAAUUCGGAGAACUCUUUAGAGUGAAUUAUUUAUACAUUAAUACAAAGUGGGUAAUGAAAUAAUAUGGAAUAUAUUAAAUGUGGAUUUUUCAGCAUCAAAGUGCUGAGUUUGAUUGGUAAACAGGCUUUGACAAACAUUAAUUAAAUUUUCUAGGAAAAGGUGGUAAAAGAAAAUAUAUUUCUUAAAAUAUUUUACAUAAAUACAAAUAAUACUUUGGUGGUGUGAUCUUUCUAAGGGCAUUUUCUAGCUAAAUAUUCAAAUCCAUGGUUUGAUGUUUUAAUAAAUUCUCUAAGGACGCUUAGAUUACCCUGAAGGUUGGGAAAAGUUAAAGAUGAGUAGAACUAUGAAGUAACUGUUUAAACGUUGAAGUUUCCAAAGGAGCUAAUACAUGAUGAAAUUCUACUUAUUGAAAUCAUUAAUGACUGUAACGUGAAAUGUUCUGGGAAAUUGAGUAAUCUUAUAGGUUAAAAUCAUGCUACAACUAAUUAAUCUAUUUGUGCUGAAAGUUUAUCUUUCAAGAAAAAGGGGCAGAGAAUUUGGACAAAACAAAAUUAUAAAGAUAAAAGGUUAACUAUGAAAAUUAUUAAAUUAUCCUGAAAAUAAAAUAAAAUGAGAAGGAAAAGGUCUUUGAACUAUUAAGUUUUGCAAAUAAGUGGGCAUUUAAAGGGUUUUUCUGAUUGAAGGAAUUGGUUUAUAAUUAAAUUAAAAUCUCUAAUUGAUGAUAAUUAUGGUGUUAAAUAGCAGUGUUUUGUGGAACAAUUAAGUAUUUGUUGCAUCUUAAAUGAAUAUAUAAACUAGAAUUUAACUCUGAGACACAAUAUUGAAUAUGCAGUUAUUGAAAUUGGUGAGAAUUUUUGACAAAAAGGAAAUUAUUAAUUGGGUUCUAAUAUAACAUUUGAGAAAUAUCUUUUUGAAUGCACAUGUUAAUUAAAAUCUUGGAGACUAAAUUUAUAAAAUAGUAAAACAUUUAAUGCUACACAUUUGGAGAAUUCUUGUAGCUUUCGUAAUUCUUGAUUGAAUAAAUUUGAACAAUGACGAACAUGAUGUGAAAAGACUGACGGUUUUGUGACUGACCUUGACUAGACUAAAUGUUUCAUGUUUUGUUUGUUGUGUUAUCGUCUGUUUGUGAAUACAUGGUAUGAAUAUGUGUGAUUAGAACAGAAUAUAAAUUGUGGAAUAGAACUGGCAAACUAAUUAUAUAUUGUCCCCAAUUACAAGGCAAGGGAGACUAAAUUAAAUUUUCAAAGAAAUUGGCUGAAUUAUGUGCACAUAAGAAUUGAAUUGAGUAGAUGUUUUGCCUAUUACUUCGAUGCCUGUCUGUCUAGUAACCAUUCAACAGGGUUUUUCUCCAUUUGAGCUUUGAAACCGACGGAAGUUACGUGGACCGCCGGACUAUACCAGGAUGAAAAGGUGAAUCUGCACAUUUGUCGCAUAACGACUGCUUUAAUGAGUUACAGGUCCUGGGAGUGGAAUUUGCAUAAUAUCAGACGUGACAGGAACGUCCAGGCUCGAGACCAGUUCCUGGACUCGACUGGGUGCCCCUGGAGCUCAUCAAACGGAAGCGGUCUGAACCUCGCUUCACCGGACCACACUGAGUAGUGGAGAGGACAUCCCAUGCUGUUCGUCUACAAGGGAAAGGAGACACCUGGUUCCAUUGGAGUCAGUGCACGGCAGCCGAGGAGCCACAACGCGCGUUCCGAGUGAUACAGGAGGACCUGCAGCAUCAAGCUUCAGUUGAGGAGCACAGCCAGGCACGGCCAGAAGCAGACGUGGGUCUACUGUCCCAAGAAGAAGUGUAGCAGGGUUUCUGUCGUGGCCACUUCAUCUUCCUGAAAUCUGAGGUUUACAGGGCUCGGAAAAGGAGAUUUUAUUUUCUCUGUUCCGAUGUCCUUCCAUGGGGAGGAGGAGAUUUUAAAAGAAUCUCACUGAAAUGAGGCAUAAUAAUCCGAUUUUCAGUAGAGCAACGGACGCUCAGUUUGUCAACUGAGCUGUAUAACGACGGGAAGACGACCGAUCAGGAUGCAAGAGGAUCAUCAUCAGCUUCACAUAUUUUUUCUUGCGUUUUCUCGUUUAUUGCGAACUUUCGUUUUUUGCGCAUGUUUUUGGUCAUUUCUGGACGAAGACUUCAUAUUUUUUCAAGGACAUUUUAUUAUAAAAAAAAGAAAAAGUGUUUUGUGAUUUUAUGUGUUUAUGGUUUUUACAUUUUAUGUUUUGAGCUGUUGUUUGUACUGUGUUUUCGUUCUAUGGUGAUUAUGGAGUUUUAUGAUUUGUCAUAUUUUUAUACCCAUAGGUAUGUUUUACUCUUAGAUUUAAUUGGUUGAAAUUUUGUGGUUCAACGGGUAAGUAUUGAAAUUGUGGGUUGGCACAGGUUUCCAUUGGACAGGUUCGGAUGAUGGAGUUCGGCUUCAGACACAUGGAUGGGCAGUGUAAGUCUCAUUACAGUUUCAGUGAGCAGUGAUGCAGUGGCCCACCUCUUCAUCCCCUUUAUCAGAUGUUUUUUGUGGUCUUUCUGGUGGGGAGUUGUGGAGCUGGGAUAUUCUAUUUCAAAAGGGGGACUGUUAUGUAAUUUGGCUACUGAUAUAUAAUUUAGUGUACUACAUAGUUUUUGGUUCCUCUAUUUGAAGCCUUAAGCAAUUUAUUUGUGAGGUCUAUAUUUAAUAGACCUCAAAAGGGGGACUGUUAAGGAAAAUAAUUAUUUUUAGUGCUUAAUAUAGCUAAUCUUACCCCAGGUGUAAAAGGUGUACGGACAGUCUGAUUUUGAACAAAUUUCUUAAUUUUGGGGUAAGGGAUUUGAAACUAAAACUACUCUAUCGGUAAGUAUUUGGAGACGGGAGCCAGGGGUAGGUCAAAUCUGUGAUCUCUCUGUGAGGUUCCUCCUGCUGUGUUAUCAGGGCCCAGGAGGAAGCCACAGAAUUAGCAUUUAUUGCAGGGCAGAAGCCGGUUUGGUUCACAGAACAUCAAAGGUUUUUUAGAACCACAUCUGGCAGGGUUUAAACUAAAAUGCAACAUAGAAUGUUGAGAUCACUAACAGUUUUCUAAGUAUUAAUAGCAAGUUUAUAAUUAAAGUGCAUUAUCUAAGUUUAGAAGGGAGAAUGCUGAAUGUAUUUGAAAAUUGUACUGUCUAUGAUAAUAUCUGAACCAAAUGGAAAUUGUUUCAAUGAAAAUGUGUUGUUUAGUAUUAGAAAACUGUUCAGGAUUUAUGUGAUAAAGCAAGGAUUUAAAUCUUUGGAAAAUGCUGAAUGCAGUAGACCAGAAUUAGGUUUGUGAAGAUAAUCUUUCCUUAAACUAAAUUACUUGAUUUGGCGGAGGCACUCGAUGUCACAGGUAUCUGUUAGAGCCAGAAGACUAGGAUGCAGCUGCUUGCUCCAUUGUUCUUCUAGAGACCAAAUGGCCUUUGAUCUCUGGCGUGAAAUUAAGGGAAGGUCUAAGUUCCUCUGAGUGUCCAGGGGAGCUCCUGGUUGGUCGAACCAGGGGUACGCCUUAAUGAAUACAUUAACAAGGAGAGAAACGCCUCCACUAUAAAGAGAUUGAACACGAUAAUAAUGAUUCAGAUCGCUGUUAUUUCCUGCCGUUUUGGCAUUCAGCCUUCUCCAAAGACAUGUCUUUGCUUUUUCUUUCUCUGUCUCUGUCUUUGUUUUUAUUCUUUGUCUGUCUCAGGUAAUGAGUCUGUAUCUUGGCUGUUUUGCAGUUUGUGUUGUUACUUCAUUGUGGUUUCCUAUGAGAUUAAACGCUGUAACUCUGUGACGUCAUCACGCAUCCUUGUUCCUGAUUGGCACACACUCCUCGCUGGAAGGACCCGGGAAAAUAGGAAGAAAAGAGAGCCAAGCUUUUUCCAAAUUAAGCUAACUUAGUAACUUUCUUCCUUCAACACUAUC